CCAGGUGGAGAGGGCUGCAUGAGUAGCAGGCGAUGCUACUAUCUGAUGAGUGUUCAUUACACUAUCAUGCAGGAGCCAGGAAGGAAGAGUCUGGUCCCACUCCCCAGCUCGGCUGGGACAGCAAGGACUGGGGAUGCUGUGGAAGCAGUAUGUCUAUCCUGUGGGGAGGGAGGACUUUGUGCUCCUCGUGAGGGAUCCCACCCUCCUACUCAGGAAUGACACCAGCAUGUGUGAAGAGACAAUGAACACACAGAGUUCUUGGUCCUCCAGUUCCCAGAGCAGAACAGCUGUUUCCCAAACAACAUGGCGUAUUGACACCUACCUGUAGAAGAAAGCGCAUCAGAUGUAUCUCUUUAAUGUCACUGUACGCAUAACGGGAACAUGCCUGAUCUCCCAUACCUUGCUCUUUGUGGCAUAAGCUGAAAAUAAAUGGAUCGGUGAUGCUGAAAGAGGUAAAAACAGAAAUGUGUUUGAGAUGGACAAGAACAAGCAAGGCCUUUGCAACAAACAUGCUGGAUGUGAGGAAAGCCUCGGGCAUAACCCUAUACACAGCCACCACCACUUAGUCUUGGAAUACCCUCCAUUAAUGCACAAAUGGCUUUAUGUACGUUUCUACAGAGCCUGGUAUCCUAGAAGGUCUGUGAUGUCAGCCAGAGCAUGGAAGGUUUCAAACACCCUGAAGGCAAUUUCAUCCUGGAUCCUGAAACAAAGAGGGAGCUAGUGGAGCGUGAAGGUCCGUUUGGUGUGAUCAUGCUUUUUAGGACAUGUAAGUGGACAGCAGCAGCAUUCUGUACAUGCUGUCUCAAAAGCAGUGACACAAAAAAAGUCCACAGAGAAAGGAUUUGCAGUAGUCGAGGUGGGAGGAGAUGGAGGUCUGGAUGAAGUAGAGCCAUGGCCAAGGGACGUUGUUGAUCACAAAGGGCUGCAUUGUGAUAUCUUUACCCCUAUUUGGUAGUACCUUACUUCUCAGAUAGUCCCAUUGACUUGAAAGGGUCUUCACAUAUUACUCAGUCUGAGGAGAGGUAUAAUAACUGGGUCCAAAAUGAUCACGUCCUUUAAAAGAAAUCCAGUGAAAGCAUGAGACAGUGUUUUCCCAGAAGCCGAUCUGGUCACUACUUGAUUCACCCAAUCAUACAAACUCAUCCGAUCACUAACAUUUUAUCCAGUAGGAAGUGGAUGUAAAGCAGUGACCAUCGAUGCACAGUCAAUGAGAAAAACAAUGAGUUACUCACUUCCCAGUGGACUCUGAGCACAAACACCCCCAUAUGCAUCCACAGAGCAUGAGCAGAAAGCCAGCCUACAAACCCAUUUUCAAUAAAACAAGAAUCAUAAAAACAGGGUCAGUGUGCCAAGUAUUAAUUAUGAUCCCUUCAGCCUUGGAGAAAGAAAUAGGAACUCAUCAACCAAUGAACCAAAAGACUCUUCUAAAGAAUGUUCCAUAUGAAUAAAAGAUGGGAGAGAUGAAGAAGGAAAUACCAACACCACUUAAUGACACCAGAAAAAGAGAAUAAUUUCCAUCUGUAAUGGGGCUGCGUCUUCCUAUCUCUCUCUAUAUGCUUAGCACAUUUCGGGUGGGGCUGUAAUAUAAAU